UACGGAGGGUGCGAGCGUUGUCCGGAAUCACUGGGCGUAAAGGGCGCGUAGGCGGCGCGGGUAGUCAACGGUGAAAGCUUGGGGCUCAACCCCGAGUCGGCCGUCGAUACUCCCGCGCUUGAGCACUGUAGAGGCAGGUGGAAUUCCGGGUGUAGCGGUGGAAUGCGUAGAGAUCCGGAAGAACACCGGUGGCGAAGGCGGCCUGCUGGGCAGUAGCUGACGCUGAGGCGCGACAGCGUGGGGAGCAAACAGG
rnacentral:rRNA from 1 species